rnacentral:rRNA from 1 species
AGAGGUUUGCUAGCGUUGUUCGGAUUCAUUGGGUGUAAAGGGUGUGUAGGCGGUUAGGUAAGUCAGAUGUGAAAUCCCAGAGCUCAACUCUGGAAUUGCAUUUGAUACUGCCAAACUAGAGUACGCUAGAGGCAAGGGGAAUUCCCGGUGUAAGGGUGAAAUCUGUAGAUAUCGGGAGGAACACCAGUGGCGAAGGCGCCUUGCUGGGGUGAUACUGACGCUGAAACACGAAAGCUAGGGGUAGCAAACAGGAUUAGAUACCCUGGUAGUCCUAGCUGUAAACGAUGGGUACUAGGCGUUGGAAGGUUAUUGCCCUUUCGGUGCCGUAGCUAACGCAUUAAGUACCCCCACCUGGGGAGUACGGUCGCAAGAUUG